rnacentral:rRNA from 1 species
GACGACCCGUGCGAACGUUGUUCGGAAUCACUGGGCUUAAAGGGCGCGUAGGCGGUUCACCAAGUCGGGGUUGAAAUCUUUCGGCUUAAACGGAAAAGUGGCUUCGAUACUGGUAGACUGGAGGGAGGUAGGGGCAGAUGGAACUUCCGGUGGAGCGGUGAAAUGUGUUGAUAUCGGAAGGAACGCCGGUGGCGAAAGCGAUCUGCUGGACCUCUUCUGACGCUCAGGCGCGAAAGCCAGGGGAGCAAACGCG